rnacentral:lncRNA from 1 species
UCAAAAAGGCGCUACCUCAGAAUUACUGUUGAUCGUGAUCACAUCACAUCUCAAAUCGUUCAUAAGUUCCGACCAGUCAUAUCGACCCCAUUCAAAUCGUAAAACACACACUGAAUUGUGGCAUAAUCAUAGUCAAAAUCAGUCAAACGACUGCAAUAGACACUGAAUCUGCUCAGGGGAAAAAAUAAUCAAGGAAACAAAUUGCUAAGGGAAAUAAAGUCUUUAAGUUCAGUUGCAAUUUUUUCUUCAACCCACUGCGUAGAGCCUCAUCUCACUUCGAUUUCACGAAUGUUAUAUCCCCACGAGAGCACAUCAUAUAGGGUUCUCUGCAGUCAGAAUAGCAGCGGUUAGUACAUUCACUCAUACAUAACCAGUGACAUUAAACAUAAUGAAAACAGUGCUCAUGCAAAAUUAUAUUCUCCUACAUUAUCCCAAUGUUCGAACAUUAUAAAGGGCAACAUAUGACAAUUCAAUGAACUAUCCUAAUUCGUUACUGUCUCUUUGUCCACUUCGUCUGAAAGAAAGCAAAAUUCAUAUAAUCUCAGAUAACCCAGAAUGUAAACAAGUAGGAAGCUUACUCUGCCUACACAGUUUCCAUGGGCUGACUCUGGCCUCUCUGAGUCCCUCGCACUUUCUUGAAUUUAGCAAUUAUACAUUCAGGUCGGCUUAGAUUUCCCAGCCACUGUGUCGCUUUCUUGAACAUAGUCUUUAUGCGCUUAAUCACCAUCUGAAAGAGAAAAAAAGAAUCAAAGGACAUAUGUAUGAUACCUUACUACUUUUUAAUUUGAAAUCAUCAGUCGUGAUCAAGAGGCAUUGUACCUCUGUCGGCUGAAAGUAAUUCAGCCAAAUGACCACCGUCAUGCACAAGACGACACAUGCAAAAGGCCAUACAACUGAUUUGGAAACACCUCUACAAACACACAGUGUUAUAAAUGGUGCUGCGCACAACCACAGAAGUAUUAAAAGCUGCACUAUUUGUAGGACUUUGAAUCCAAGAUUUUCAGGCAAUGCUCCCUCCUUGAAGCUUGAAGCAGGACCUAUCAGAAUAAGGCUGAUGAUGGUCACUACAAUGUGUGCUGUGGGAAUGAUGUCCUUCCAAGUGCCAAAAUUUGCAUUUGAGCAAAAUAAAGUCCAAUUAGGAAUGAGAAACCCUGAGCAAGCAAGUGAGGCGAUCGCAGUGUUCAAGACAAAACCAUGCCUACCCUGAGUUCAGACAAAGCAGUAAGAAAAAUUGGCGCAGCUACAGAGCUUUUGGUAUAGUCUAAUGCCAGGGAAAGGAUAAUCACCUUCAUUUUCUUCUCAUUCUCAUCAGAAUCAUUUUCAUCAUCAGG